UCUUGCCGGUCUAUCCUUGGAGGGUGGUGGUGACCCGAAGGGCAGAAAAAUACUCUCUCAUCAGGUAUGAACCUGCAGCCCUUCGGUGAAGGCAGGCCGAGGCAAUUUUGAAAGGAAUGAGCGCAGCUGUGUUCCAUGAAUAAUGACAUUGCAGGUCACACCAGAAUAGGAGACUGGAAACAUUUGGCCUGACUUCACUGUCUAAGGUCUACAGAGCAGCUCAGUCUCAGCCCUUUGGCCAAGGCUCACCUGGGUGACUACAGUCAGAUGCUUCUCAACAAAUAUGAAGAGCAUCCCAGCACGGGGUCACAGGAGAAAGCAUCAAGGCUUGUUCUAGGUGCAGUGAAAGCUUCUUGGGGCUCUGCCAGCCUUGAAGACGAGGGUUCUUACUCCAGCUUGUGAAAAAAGCAUAGUUGUAACAGGAGGAGACGGGACAAGGAGGAGGCUGUUCCCGUUGUACUAGGAAGAGGGGUCAGCUUAGGGGUUCUCAGGGGGCCCUCAAGUCUAGCUCAGAGCCCAGCCUCAGUACCUGACAGUGUUACUUACGAAUGAAAAUGUUCCCAGCAGCCUGCGGGGUAGGCCGAGCCUCCACAUGUAUUUCAAAAAUGAUAUUGUGAACUGAUUCUCUGGGCUGGACAGAACCAUGCAGCUGACAGGAAGGAGGAGGCAUCCAAGACCAAGAAUCUCCUGGGCCCCCAGCCACAUGCUCUGAACCCGUGUUGUUGUAUCCAUGCUCUCAUCCAUGCCCAGUGUUGUGUAUACAAGUACAUAGCCACCCUUGGACAGCCUCCUGCUCCCUGGCACCCCCACACUAGGCCUUCGUCAGACACUCACAUAUAGGGGCUACAUUUCAGGUCAACAUUCCCUUAUGAGCUGAUUGCUAGCCAGAAUUUCUGACUCAUUAGAACAGGAACCCCCACCAUCAGGAA